rnacentral:rRNA from 1 species
CAGUGGGGAAUAUUGGACAAUGGGCGCAAGCCUGAUCCAGCAAUGCCGCGUGUGUGAAGAAGGCCUUCGGGUUGUAAAGCACUUUUAUCAGGAGCGAAAUCGGCGUGGUUAAUACCCGCGUCGUCUGACGGUACCUGAGGAAUAAGCACCGGCUAACUUCGUGCCAGCAGCCGCGGUAAUACGAAGGGUGCAAGCGUUAAUCGGAAUUACUGGGCGUAAAGGGUGCGUAGGCGGUUAGUUAAGUCUGUUGUGAAAUCCCCGGGCUCAACCUGGGAAUGGCAAUGGAUACUGGCUAGCUAGAGUGUGUCAGAGGAUGGUGGAAUUCCCGGUGUAGCGGUGAAAUGCGUAGAGAUCGGGAGGAACAUCAGUGGCGAAGGCGGCCAUCUGGGACAACACUGACGCUGAAGCACGAAAGCGUGGGGAGCAAACAGGAUUAGAUACCCUGGUAGUCCACGCCCUAAACGAUGCGAACUGGAUGUUGGUCUCAACUCGGAGAUCAGUGUCGAAGCUAACGCG